UGUGUGUGUGUGUGUGUGUGUGUGUGUGUGUGUGUGUUUAAAAAGCCUCUCCGUUCUCUCUGUUUCAGUCCUUCCUUGCUGUUCUGCCAGACACUCAUCAUGGCAACUGAGGAGGGGGAGGACGAAGAAGAAGAUGAUGAUGACAAUGAUGAUGCUGACUGGUGCCUUUGAUGAUGAUGUGUAGUCAUAAAUCUCUGCUCCCAGGGGCGGAGUCCUGGGCCCUGUUCCCUUCCUACGUCCUACAUCCCCCGACUUCACUUCCUCUUCCUACUUCUGACUUCCUCUGCCCUCUUCCUGUUUCUUACACCCAAACUCCCUCCUUCCCAUUCCACUCCCCUUCCUUUGGGAACAGAGUCCAGGAGGCAGAAGAGAUUAUUAGACGUAUGCAUACCUCUCAGCCUCUCUCUGGGGAAACUCCAGAAAGUCUCUGAGAAACUCCAGAAUGUCUCCUGAGAAACUCCAGAGUGCAGGGGCGUCACUAGGUAUGUUUUACUGGGGCACAUGCCCCAGUAAAAAUAAGUUGUGCCCCAGUAAAAAAAAAUGUCUUACAUGUACACAAACGACGCAGUGCCCCAGUAAACAUGUACACAAAUGACACAGUGCCCCAGUAAACAUGUACACAAAAGACACAGUGCCCCAGUAAACCUUAAUUCCUAGUGACUCCCCUGCCAGAAUGUCUCCUGAGAAACUCCGGAAUGUCUCCUGAGUCUCCAGGAUGUCUACUGUGAAAUUCUCACCCUGCUUGCAGAUCUAGACGUCUAGUGACGUACAGUAUGCAGACUAGCAGACUUGAGUAGCCUAAUUACAGUAUAUUGUAAUAGUCUUCUCUUCCUUGAUUUUGAUGUGACGUCUCACAUUAUAUGACUAGGAUUUUUAUGCGUUUGAAAUGUGCUUUUAUAGUUAUACUUGUUUAUACCUGUAUGCGCAUAAUAGAAACUUGAAUAUAGCAACAGAAGAUCUUCUACAGAUGAUAGCUUCUGCACGCUAUGUUCUCUUGCGUCUACAAGCUCUUUUACUUGGUUGUGUGGAGGGGAACUUGUCACGGCAUCACAGCCAUGUGCAUUCAACUGACUGCUGUUUGCUCUUACUGGAUGCCUGAUAAGGCCACAUGAGAACACACCCCAUAAACAUAAUAAUAAUAAAACACCUGACCUUA